rnacentral:sRNA from 2 species
GGCCGGCCGACGUCGAAUCCCGGAGGCCGUCAGGGCCACGGGAACCGGGGACCCACUUCUUGGGGUGAAUCCGCCGCGAACCUGCGGCGGUAGGGCAACUCCACCGCCCGAAUCCGUCAGCUAACCCGGUAGACGAGAUGGAGAGGAGAU